CUGGAAAUUUUAUUUCUAGUGAUUGGAAUGAUGGGAAUUUAAACCCCUUUCAGAGUAACAAUUGGAGGGCAAGUCUGGUGCCAGCAGCCGCGGUAAUUCCAGCUCCAAUAGCGUAUAUUAAAGUUGUUGCAGUUAAAAAGCUCGUAGUUGGAUGUCUGCUGGAAGCAAUCAGUCCGCCCUAUUUGUAGGGUGUGCACUUGAUGAAUUCUGGCAUCUAUGUCCCAAUAGUAUGUGAUGGUGUAUAUAUACCCUGUGUAUAUACUACCCAUCUAUAUUGGGAUAAUACCGUUACUUUGAGAAAAUUAGAGUGUUUGAAGCAGGCUAAUUGCCUUGAAUACUGCAGCAUGGAAUAACAAUAUAGGAUUUCGGUUCUAUUUUGUUGGUUUCUAGGACUGAAAUAAUGAUUAAUAGGGACAGUUGGGGGCAUUCGUAUUUAACUGUCAGAGGUGAAAUUCUUAGAUUUGUUAAAGACGAACUACUGCGAAAGCAUUUGCCAAAGAUGUUUUCAUUAAUCAAGAAC
rnacentral:rRNA from 1 species